CUGUCUCCUGCUUCAGCAGUGCUUGGACAGAGCAG
rfam:Fukomys damarensis contig147031, whole genome shotgun sequence.